AGCCAGACUCCUACGGGAGGCAGCAGUGGGGGAUAUUGCACAAUGGGGGGAACCCUGAUGCAGCGACGCCGCGUGGGUGAAGGAGUAUUUCGGUAUGUAAAGCCCUAUCGGCAGGGAAGAAGCAAGACGGUACCUGACUAAGAAGCCCCGGCUAACUACGUGCCAGCAGCCGCGGUAAUACGUAGGGGGCAAGCGUUAUCCGGAUUUACUGGGUGUAAAGGGAGCGUAGACGGCAAUGCAAGCCAGAUGUGAAAGCCCGGGGCUCAACCCCGGGACUGCAUUUGGAACUGUAUAGCUAGAGUGUCGGAGAGGCAGGCGGAAUUCCUAGUGUAGCGGUGAAAUGCGUAGAUAUUAGGAGGAACACCAGUGGCGAAGGCGGCCUGCUGGACGAUGACUGACGUUGAGGCUCGAAAGCGUGGGGAGCAAACAGGAUUAGAUACCCCCGUAUA
rnacentral:rRNA from 1 species